UCCUUAAUAAAAGAAGACAGGAUAUUAUACUUCUUUAUAUAUGCCAACUGCAACUAAUUCCACUUGAGCAAGAGCAGCUUGCCCAAAAACAAGAAAGAGAUAUGCGAAAUCAACCAAGACAAGCACACCCCAAUCAACAGGUAAUCCCGCAUCUGAUUGUUCAUUGAGUGCGGCGGAAGCAAAUGUAGAAAAAGAACAAGCAAGAAAGGGAGAGUAAGCAAUUAAGUCUCUUAGUGAGAAUGGUAAUCUGGAUAGGCAGUCUGGUGGGAGAUAUAAUACCACCUUUCUUAGGUGGGUAUGAGUGUAUCUUGAUAGCCCAUGAUCAAAGAGAUAUGUAUGAGAAAUUCAAAUGAUAACGAAAUUAAUGGAAGGAUUAACACGAGACCU
rnacentral:lncRNA from 1 species